rnacentral:rRNA from 1 species
AAGUCGAGGGGCAGCAUGGUCUUAGCUUGCUAAGGCUGAUGGCGACCGGCGCACGGGUGAGUAACACGUAUCCAACCUGCCGUCUACUCUUGGCCAGCCUUCUGAAAGGAAGAUUAAUCCAGGAUGGGAUCAUGAGUUCACAUGUCCGCAUGAUUAAAGGUAUUUUCCGGUAGACGAUGGGGAUGCGUUCCAUUAGAUAGUAGGCGGGGUAACGGCCCACCUAGUCAACGAUGGAUAGGGGUUCUGAGAGGAAGGUCCCCCACAUUGGAACUGAGACACGGUCCAAACUCCUACGGGAGGCAGCAGUGAGGAAUAUUGGUCAAUGGGCGAUGGCCUGAACCAGCCAAGUAGCGUGAAGGAUGACUGCCCUAUGGGUUGUAAACUUCUUUUAUAAAGGAAUAAAGUCGGGUAUGCAUACCCGUUUGCAUGUACUUUAUGAAUAAGGAUCGGCUAACUCCGUGCCAGCAGCCGCGGUAAUACGGAGGAUCCGAGCGUUAUCCGGAUUUAUUGGGUUUAAAGGGAGCGUAGAUGGAUGUUUAAGUCAGUUGUGAAAGUUUGCGGCUCAACCGUAAAAUUGCAGUUGAUACUGGAUGUCUUGAGUGCAGUUGAGGCAGGCGGAAUUCGUGGUGUAGCGGUGAAAUGCUUAGAUAUCACGAAGAACUCCGAUUGCGAAGGCAGCCUGCUAAGCUGCAACUGACAU